AUGAUCGGUCUUACCCCGCUGCCUUCCUCUUCACCAGAGCCAAAUACUGGUGAUGAGCUCAACAGCAGCAUCAUUGUUGGUAAAUACCAUCAGCACUUACAGUCUACUCCACCUACAAAGAGCUAUGGCAAGGAAAUGGCAAACCAGAAGGAUGAGUUAGAUGAAAAGUUUCUAGCUGAUUACCGAGCGAUGCCAACGCUUGCAAAGGAAGUGACUUUAGCUGCAACUAGCAAGAUGUUGACUAAUGCACCCUCUGUCGCUGCUCCUGCCAAAGCUUGCUUCUCUUUUGGUAGCAAGAGAAGUCUCAAGGUCGAAUUUUGGGGCCGGGAAGCACUAGGUUCUCUGGUGGCCUACCACUAA
rnacentral:rRNA from 1 species